UGGGGAAUUUUGGACAAUGGGCGAAAGCCUGAUCCAGCAAUGCCGCGUGUGUGAAGAAGGCCUUCGGGUUGUAAAGCACUUUUGUCCGGAAAGAAAUCCUUGGCUCUAAUACAGUCGGGGGAUGACGGUACCGGAAGAAUAAGCACCGGCUAACUACGUGCCAGCAGCCGCGGUAAUACGUAGGGUGCAAGCGUUAAUCGGAAUUACUGGGCGUAAAGCGUGCGCAGGCGGUUUGCUAAGACCGAUGUGAAAUCCCCGGGCUCAACCUGGGAACUGCAUUGGUGACUGGCAGGCUAGAGUAUGGCAGAGGGGGGUAGAAUUCCACGUGUAGCAGUGAAAUGCGUAGAGAUGUGGAGGAAUACCGAUGGCGAAGGCAGCCCCCUGGCCAAGUACUGACGCUCAUGCACGAAAAGCGUGGGGAGCAAAACAGGAUUAGAUACCCUGGUAGUCCACGCCCUAAAACGAUGUCAACUAGUUGUUGGGGAUUCAUUUCCUUAGUAACGUAGCUAACGCGUGAAGUUGACCGCCUGGGGAGUACGGUCGCAAAGAUUAAAACUCAAAGAAUUGACGGGGUCAUAGCUGUUUCCU
rnacentral:rRNA from 1 species